CAACGUAGAAACACCGACGAACUCUGUCGACCAGCUCCGGUGAAGGACAAUAAUUUUCGGUGAGGGACGACCAUUAUCGGAUAACAUACCACAAUCUCCGAGGUAGGCUUUCGAUUUUUUACCCUGUUCUAUGUUUUCUACUACUGUUCGAUUUUCGCUUUCUUCUUCCCUAGUCUGAAAAUUUAUUUCAUUGUUCCUUCUAUUUUCUUUCUUUGAUAAUAUUUCGGAUAAAUCCAUUAUUUUACUUCUGUUUUGUCUGUAUUAUGCAAUAUAUUUUGUGAUUUUAGUCUGCGAAAUUGGGGGAUUUGUUUGUUAGGUUUUGAUUUUGUGUUACAAACAAUGAGAUUUGAUGUUACUAUCGAUGUUCGAUGAUAGUAUGAUGCCAUAGUGAAUGCUCCCUAGACUAUUUUUGAUUCAUUCUCGUGAAAUAAGUAGUAUAUAUUGCUGGUAGUUUGUUACAAUUUUGCAAAGUUUGGUUUCUUUUAUUUCACUCGAUACGAGUAUUCUGAAGUUUAUUUAGCUUUUUUACUGCUGCCCUAGCUCUAUUCGUUUAUCGGUAUUUGGAUUUAUGUUUUUCUUAAUAAUUCAGAGCUUUGAAAUUGGUCAAUUUGUCGUCGAUACUUUUUUUAGCUUCCUAUGCGCUAGUUAUGUGUAAAGUAGCAGCGUCCGAUGCCAUUUCUUAGUUUCUUAUGUGGUAGUCAUAUGUAGUGUAAAUAUUAAUGUUGUUUGAAUGCUAUAUUAAUCAUGAAAGCUCCUAAAAGUCUUAUUUUUAAUGCAUUGUUAUUAAAAGCGAGCACUUCUCGCUUAAAGCACAAAAUAAAGGCUAGGCUAGGGGUCUACCCUUUUCUGCCCUGUAGCAGGUAAAUUUCUCUUCUUCUGCUUCUUCUCUUCCUCUUCUGAUUUCUCUUCUACUGUUUGACUCCUCUCAUAUUUUCUCUUUCCUUUCUAUUUUUGUUAGUUCUUUUUUAUCCUGCCUUGUUUCUCUUUUAUCUGGUAUAACCUCAGUUUUAUAAUAGUAAUUUUUUAUACACAUUUAUCUAAAGGCAAAGAUGAAGUCCAUCUAUGUAACCUAAAAAAAGGACUAUAUAAAACCACUUUUAAGUAUUGAUUGCUAAAAUUGCCUCCUUAUCCCAACUCAAAAGGGUCCCUGUUAAUAACUCUGCAUAGAUGGUCUAGUAGUCACAUAAAGUAUGAGAAGGGAGAUCCUUAUUUCAUUUUGGAAUCUAAUGGCUGCAGGUGGAUGGUCACUUUUUUUAACUCUAUGCAGUUUAAGUAUAAUUGAAGUAUGAACUAACCAGAUGGUGCACAUACAUUCUGUUUCUACCAUUCUCUUUUAGUUAGAUUGUGCUUUUUUUUCACUUUCCCAAAUUUUAGCAAGUAUUAGAAAGAAAGAAGAUUCUGAAGAUAAAUAUCCAUCCGCUGUAAUACACCACAGUUGAGACACCGAGCCACGUAAUUCAAAAUGUCCUUUUUCAUUUUCUUCCACAGUAAUGCUGUCUCAAAUCCCGAUACAUCUUCGCGGCACCCGGAUGAAUCGAAUACCGCGAGCUAUGAGACUCCUCUAAAAUCAACUCCCGGAGACCAUCCAUAUUGGGCACACAAAUUCGGCCAUGCAUUCGCAAUAUGCAAUCAUCUCUAAGGGUCACAUCUCUAGCAUCAUCAUGCUGGACCCUGACCUUCAGGACAAACAAAUGCGGGUCAUCAUACUGCCUCUCUCUGAUGCGGUAAUACAAAGAAGACUGGGAAAUCACACUCGCCAACACACGACUGGGCUCGGAAAUAUCUAACCUCACCAUCUGAUUGGACAAGGCCUGAACAUCAACGGCAAUGGGCCUCUCCCCAACUGGAUUGUAUGCCAGACUACCCAUGCUGAUAGCCUUCCAGCUCAAAGCAUCGGCCACCACAUUGGCCUUCCUGGGAUGAUACAAAAUGGUGAUAUCAUAUAAUUCUUUGAGUAACUCAAACCAUCUUCGGUGUCUCAGAUUAAGAUCCUUCUGUUUAAACAAGUGUUGAAGACAAUGGUGGUCCGUAUACACCUCACAAGAUACACCAUAAAGAUAAUGCCUCCAAAUCUUCAGGGCAUGAACAAUUGCAGCCAACUCUAAGUCAUGAACAGGGUAGUUCUUCUCUUGAGGCUUUAGCUGAUGAGAAGAAGAAGCAAUUACUCUACCCUCUGCAUCAAUACACAACCGAUCCAAAUUCUCAUCGAACUACAAAAAUGGAUCAUUCUUCUGUGUCAACUUCGUCAAAGGCAAAGCAAUAGAUGAAAAUCCCUAAAUGAACCUGCGGUAAUAAUCUGCCAAAGCCCGAAGCUGAUGGUAAUACUAAUACUGGAGCGGUGGUCAAAGCCGACUUGAGCUUUUGGAAGCUCUCCUCGCAUUCAUCUGACCACACAAAUGGAGCAUUCUUCUGAGUCAACUUCAUCAAAGGCGAAGCAAUAGAUGAGAAACCCUGAAUGAAUAUGCCAUAAUAACCCGCCAAAUCGAGGAAACUCUGAAUCUCAAUAGCUGAGGACAGUCUGGGCAAACUCUGCACCGCCUCAAUCUUCUUUGUGUCGACCUGAAUACCAUCACUGGACACCACGUGUCCUAGGAAAGUCACAGUAUUAAGCCAGAAUUCACACUUAGAGAAUUUUAUAUAAAGCUUCACCUCUCUCAAUAGCUAUAAGACCACCCUCAAGUGUUGUGCGUGCUCCUCCUGGCUACACGAAUUCACCAGAAUGUCAUCAAUAAACACAAUCACGAAAGUAUCCAAAUAAGGCCGAAAUACACUGUUCAUCAAGUGCAUGAACGCGGCUGGGACGUUAGUCAGCCCGAGACAUCACUAGAAAAUCGUAGUGCCCGUAUCUUGUCCUGAAAGUCGUCUUCAUAAUGUCUGACUCCCUAAUCUUUAGCUGAUGAUAACCUGAUCGAAGAUCAAUCUUAGAGAAUACCCUCACUCCCUGGAGCUAAUCAAAUAAGUCCUCAAUACGGGGUAGUGGGUACUUGUUCUUCACUGUCACCUUAUUCAGUUGCCUGAAGUCAAUGCACAUUCUCAUUGUGCCAUCUUUCUUCUUUACAAAUAACACCGUUUCACCCCAAGGUGACACACUCGGGCGAAUGAACCCCUUAUCCAGGAGUUUCUGAAGCUGUUCUUUCAACUCUUUUAACUCUUCUGGUGCCAUACAAUAGGGAGGAAUAGAGAUGGGCAGAGUGCUCGGCACCAGAUCAAUACCGAAGUCAAUGUCCCUGUCCGGCGGCAUGCCCGGCAAGUCCGCUGGAAACACAUAAGGGAAAUCCCUAACAAUGGGAACCGAAUCAAGGCUUGGAGCCUCGGCUUCCACAUCUCUCACGAAAACCAAAUAUGAUAAACACCCCUUGCCAACCAUCCGUUGAGCUUUUAAGAAAGAAAUCACCCUGCUAGGUACAUAGUCAGUCACGCCUCGCCACUCGAUCCUCGGAAUACCAAGAAUAGCUAGUGUAACUAUCUUAGCAUGACAAUCCAGAAUAGCAUGCUACAGAGAUAGAAAAUCCAUACACGAAAUUACAUCGAAAUCCACCAUGCCCAAUAGUAAUAAAUCAACUAGGGUCUCCAGACUCCCAGUAGUUACCAGACAGGAUCGAUAGACAUGAUCCACAAUAAUAGUAUCACCCACCGGGGUAGAUACAGGCACGGGCAAGGCAAGACAAUCAUGGGUCGUACCCAAAUGAUGAGCAAAAUAAGAGGACACAUAUGAAUAGGUAGAUCCGGGAU
rnacentral:lncRNA from 1 species